AGUGGAGGAAAAUCAUCAAAAUUUCAUCUUCUUCUUCCUCAACCAGUCGUGACUUCCAUUGAAGAUCAUAACCAAGCUCCCGAGUCGAGCAAGAAAAAGGACAAGGAUAAGGUUGCUGAGUAGUUAGACUUCAUUACAACAUACUAGGGAGGUAUAUCUGGUAAAAGCAAAGACUAGUCGAGUAAGGAGUGCAACAACAACUAUCAUCAAUCUAAGAUCAUCAACUGGAGAGCUUGCUUGAAAUUCCCCGAGGAACCAAAAAUAUCUGCCGAGGCUAAGAAUUUAAUAUGUCACCUUCUCUGUGAUGUUGAAACCCGCCUGGGCACCAGAGGGGUAGAAGAAUUGAAGGUAAGUCCUUUCAGUGAUAAUACAUGUUCCUUUAAGUAUUAUAUAUUAAAAUUUAAAGAGGCCCCUUUAUGAUUUUUGUACCUGUUUUUGUUGUUAGAUAUCUUUGAAUCAAAUAUUCAUGACAAGUAAACAUAUUUCUCUGGUCUGAAGAUUGCAUCUAGAUGUUAAUUUUGUACAUUGACAAAUGAGUUGCACCAUCUGCAAUAUUUUAGUAUUAGAUUGUUUACUUUCUCAGUUUGAGCUUGUUGGUAUUUUGUUCAAUUAUAACUUUGAAGUCUUGAAGCACAUCCGUGGUUCAAAGGUGUUAGGUGGGAAAAGCUAUAUGAGAUUGAAGCAGCAUAUAAGCCAACAGUCAAUGGAGACUUGGAUACUCAAAAUUUUGGGAAGUUCCCUGAAAUUGAUGGCCCUCCCUCCUCAAUACCGGAAGUGGGACCUUGGAGGAAGAUGUUGACAUCAAAAGUUAACAAUUUCAUAGGAUUUACAUUUAAGAAAUCAGACAUUGUUAAGUCACUUGAAAGUUCAGGAACUGACAUGAGAUACAACGGACCUUCGAAAGCUCCUUCCACCAUUUCCUUGUUAGGGCGAAUCGAUCUUCAAGAAACGGUAAUGCCGGAGGAAGAGCAGGAGCAAGAAAUUUGAAUCCGUUGUUGGCAUCUGCUAGCAUAGUUUCAUCUCAGGUACACAUUCUGCAACGCCCAAAGGGGAUUCAUGAGAUUAAUUUAGUCAAAGAAGUGCUGCUUGGAGACACACUUAAAAAGGUCAACUAAAAAUACAUGAUAUCAUCUUUGACUUCCUUGUUUUCGUAUCUCCAAAAAUCGUUGUUGUAUAAGAGCUGCUGUAAAGCCCAAACUACGUUCAAACCAUUUUGACUGUAAUUUUAGCAGGAGUUAAUUUUGCCUUGAUAUGCGAUUCCUGUUGGAAUUUUGUAGUAUGGGCUUGGCUUACGUAGCUUCAAUAAAUAUCUUUGUUUGGAGUGCAGUGGAGAAAUCGGACAUCGCAAACU